UACGAAGGGGGGCUAGCGUUGCUCGGAAUGACUGGGCGUAAAGGGCGCGUAGGCGGAUGGCACAGUCAGAUGUGAAAUUCCCGGGCUUAACCUGGGGGCUGCAUUUGAUACGUGUUGUCUUGAGUUCGGAAGAGGGUCGUGGAAUUCCCAGUGUAGAGGUGAAAAUUUCGUAGAUAUUGGGAAGAACACCAGUGGCGAAGGCGGCUCACUGGCCCGAUACUGACGCUGAGGCACGAAAGCGUGGGGAGCAAACAGG
rnacentral:rRNA from 1 species